CUCACUCAAGUUGCAUAAAGGGGAAAUAAGGGUUUUUUGCAGGGUCCUUGUGAUAUUCGACUUACUUGUAUGUUCGUGCUUCAGUGAAUUCCUGGAUCAGAGUGACUUCAUUAAAAGGCUGCAGACAUCUCUUUCUUAAGUGUCUUCAGGUGCUGCUUGUCUGAUUAUCAAUGCCUGAAAAAGGUGAUAAAUCUGAUGGAAGUGAACGCUUUCAGACAGGCUGCUGCUAUCUGAUGUGGGGCUUGCUCUGGCUGUUCGUACUGGUCUUUUUUGCCUGGCCUUUAAGCAUGGCUUUGGCAGGCCUCUAUGGAUUUGUCUCCCCUUUCAUUACAUUGGUGGGACUUGAUGACGUUAGCGACGCCCUGCUGCAAGGAGUAAACGUGGGGAGACAGUGUGCUCAGAACGUCAGAAAUGGCAAGCCCAUGUGUUGAAGAUGGCUCUCUGCCUGGCAAAGAUUCCACUGCUCCCUCCAUCAAAUGUCAUAUCAAACCAUUGCCUUCAUGUGUGAGCCUCUUGUUUUUACUCUCUGAAUUAAAGAGUUUUUAU